UACCAAGCUGAAUAUACCAGUUCUCGUUAGAUCACCCGAAGUCAAAGCAUCAUUGGGCGCGGUCGGUACUUGGGUGUGGGACCAUCAAGGGAACACCGCGUGCCGUUA
rnacentral:rRNA from 1 species